ACCACAUUGAUAUAUUUUAUUGAUAUUAAUAUAGUCCUUGGUUAUACCGGAGGAGAUACAAAGUCGUGCGAAAAAUGAAAAAAAUCAAGGUACUUGUUGUGCAAACUCGUACGGUGAAUGGUGAACAUGGAAAACAGGCAUUAAACUGUUCUAUAAACGUAUUAUUAAACGAAAUGCUGUUGCAGUCGGAGCUCUUGCAUUGUAACCUUCUUGUAAUUUCACCAAGCAUAGUGAAAAUAAUGAUAAAAAAAAGAAAAAUAAUUAGCAUAAAGAAUCAUAAGAAAAUUGGUUCUACAUUUUGUUCUAGUCAUAUCGAACAUAACUAAAAAUGUUUCGACGAUGAUAAGAAAAAUGAGUUAACUGCUUAAGUGAGGUCCCCUAAUGGGAGACAAAUAAGUAGUCAAAUACAAACGUAGUAUGAAUAAGGAAAAAAUAUUCAUGUAAAGUAUUGUGGAAGUAAAAAUGGCAGUUUUCAAGUACAUACAUACGCUUAUAAAAGAAGCAAUAUUCUUAAACGUUAUUUUAUACUGAUUGUAAGUUUGAGCUACGCUUGUAUAAGUAUUAACGACCGAUGGAAGAUUAAACAGCGACGUAAAUCACGAAAUAAAUGAUUACAUUGAAGUGCCGUCGUAUUGCUUAUCUCACGGCAAGAGAAACUUUAUCGGGGAAAUAAGUAAGAAAGAAUAUGUUCCUUGCGUACACUGGUACGUAAAACCUUUUCUCUCGGUGAAAAACAAAUGAUCGGUUGCUUCGUAUCAGUCAAACAAUAAACACUUGCUAUUAUCUUAAUUAUUAUUGUAUCGCUACCGUAUAGUUAGAAUCUUCGAUUUACAUGAAAAUCAAGGAUCAAGUGAUCAAGAAUUUCAGAUUAAACGAAUGAUAAAAUAACUCAAAUAUUCUUUUUGAUUCGUAGGAGUGAUUAUUCUGACGUAAUAAAAAAAAGAAAAAAUAAAAAGAAAAGGAAAGAAAAAUAAUAAAUUUAUCGCGCAAAAUCCUAACCUCUUUUAUAGUUGACGAAUUUGAUGGCCUGACGCGACUCACGUAAAGUCCAAAUUACAUACUAAGCCGUCUCUUUAAUAUCGCGAAAAUAAUGGCAUUUGUGUUCAACAAUUAGGAACGUUAGGUGAUGAACAAUUACGUUUGCACAACAUCGACGUAAUUGCGAGUACGAAACAUUUUGUCUUUCCGGGAAGGGAAUUUAUCAUUUUAAGGGUCACUACGACUAAAGAUAUACUUUGGAAAAUCACUCGCAAGGACGAGUUUUGUUAAAAAAGAAAAAGUAAAAAUAAAAAAGUCGGAGUAUUUCCGAUGCGAUAACGAAGUAAAAAGUUACGUAAUAUAAAUCAUCUGUUGACGACUUUGAAACUAUGGAUGCAGAUAAUAACGAAUGUCAGAACUCAAUGAAGAUGUUCGCAUCGAACAUUUGACAUCUGUCAAUGACGGAGGACAACAGCGUAAUAGAAAACAGGAAAAAAAAACACUUGGAUUUAACCUGUUGUGCAUGAUUUUCAAAACUUUUUAAAUAAAUGGUAAUUAAUCGAUUAUGUAAACUGAUAAAUCGAUGGUUAUAUAUUUUCUUUGGCAAUUCAUUUCAA
rnacentral:lncRNA from 1 species